rnacentral:rRNA from 1 species
ACCUGCCGUAUACCGGGGGAUAACACUUAGAAAUAGGUGCUAAUACCGCAUGAGCGCACAGCUCCGCAUGGAGCGGUGUGAAAAACUCCGGUGGUAUACGAUGGAUCCGCGUCUGAUUAGCCAGUUGGCGGGGUAACGGCCCACCAAAGCGACGAUCAGUAGCCGGCCUGAGAGGGUGAACGGCCACAUUGGGACUGAGACACGGCCCAGACUCCUACGGGAGGCAGCAGUGGGGAAUAUUGCACAAUGGGGGAAACCCUGAUGCAGCGACGCCGCGUGAGUGAAGAAGUAUCUCGGUAUGUAAAGCUCUAUCAGCAGGAAAGAUAAUGACGGUACCUGACUAAGAAGCCCCGGCUAACUACGUGCCAGCAGCCGCGGUAAUACGUAGGGGGCAAGCGUUAUCCGGAUUUACUGGGUGUAAAGGGAGCGUAGACGGCAGCGCAAGUCUGGAGUGAAAUGCCGGGGCCCAACCCCGGAACUGCUUUGGAAACUGUGCGGCUCGAGUGCGGGAGAGGUAGGCGGAAUUCCUAGUGUAGCGGUGAAAUGCGUAGAUAUUAGGAGGAACACCAGUGGCGAAGGC